UCGCGAGACGCGCGAACGAGAGCGGGAACGCCUCAGGCAAAGAGCACGAGUUCACGGUUUCUGUCUGCCCAUUGGGCAGUCGCGCAGCCAAUGGGGACGGCGGAAAGUUAGGGACCAGACUUGGAAGUAAGGCAAAGGCCAGCUUCAGGAGCACUCCUCCAGGUUCCUGGUGGGAACUUAGAAGAGGAGGGUUAGUGGGACAAACUACAGACCCAGCUACUGCACCUGUCCGGGGGCCACAACUCGUACUCAUUGUCUCCCUACUUGUUUUCAAUCCUAAAUUCCCCUUACCUUCAAGUAGCAGCUUCUCUGGUCUUGGUGGCUUACCUGAGGAUCUGAGCCCCUGACCGCCACAAAUUCUCAGGGGCUUGGGGCUGCUAUACUUGUCCAUUUAUUGUCAAAAUUGAGCAAGAGAGUACUGAGAAGUGCCCAAGUAGAUCACUCUUGGCCAAGAUGAUGACUCUUUUUGCCUGCUGGUCCCCGCAGACAAAGUGCUCAGGGAGAAGCUGUAGCUUAGAGUUCAAUAGGACUCCUGCUGUGUCCUCUUGUGGAAGAUUCCCCCUCUGGGGACAAAUACUUCUAACCCUGCCAAGCCCAGAGUUGUGAGAUUUGGAAGCCCAAAUUCUACAAGUGCCCCCUGAGAGUGAUGGUAGUAGGUCUCCCCUGCUUCUACCCAGUGGUUACUGGGUCCAUGUAUUCUUCUGACUGGAGGCACAACACCAUAUAAAGGUCUUUGAUGCAAGAUGUACUUGGCAUCCUGGAAGAUGAACCCCAUCUUCAUAAAGUGUUGCCUCCAAGCUGACACAUCACGUGGGCCUUCAGGAGGCCAUUCUGAUGCCCUAUCAGGCCAGCACCUUCUGGGUGGUCCAGUCUAUGAAGAGAUGAGUGAAUCCGAUGAUCAUGGACUCCUUCCUGAACCUCCGCUUUGGGAUCUGGCCUGCUUUGCUGACCCUCCUCCACUCAGGCUCUGGGGCCCUCAGGUCUCAUUCCCAGGGUGAGAGCCUAUAUCACUGCAGUGUGAAUGACCAGCUGUUGGUCUGUUCUUUCUCAAGGUUCUUUACACAACACAUUCAGCGGAAGCAUUGCCAACCCCGCCCAGACCUGCCCCCGCCCCCACCGCCCAAGCCCUGCUCCAUACACACUCAGUCAGGGUGGGCGCCCCUUGGGAGCUAGUAGCCAAAGACGGAAGACGUGGCUUGUUGGCAGAGUGAUUUCAGACUGGUGACAGGACCACGUUUCAAAGGAUGAUCAGAAGCCUUGCGGGACGACGACGACGGAACAGCCAGAGUGAAGCGCUGGAUACAGCGAGGGCUGCGGAUGGGCGUUCGCGGGCUGUGCAGGGGACCAUCGUUGCGCAGCUAGUUUAGUGUGCAUGGAAGGCCUAGCCCCGGCUCCUCGCAAAGUUUCUCCCUGCGUCCUUGGCUGCACCCAUUUUGCGGAGAGUAGUCUAGAGGCUUGAGGCCAAACAGCCUUAGACUUUUAUUA